rnacentral:rRNA from 1 species
AGGGGUCGCAUGCUGUCGGUGGCCUGCGGCAGGAUCAUUA